GCUAACUCCGUUGCGUAGUCUGGGGGGAUAGGGAGGUAGGUGGUGUGGUUCGGAAUUUACGGGCGUGUAGGUGGCGUAGGCGGCUGUUCCAGUCAUGGGUGAAAGCUGGGGGCUCAGCUCCAGAACUGCCUUUGAAACUAGAUUGCUAGAAUCUUGGAGAGGCGAGUGGAAUUCCGAGUGUAGAGGUGAAAUUCGUAGAUAUUCGGAAGAACACCAGUGGCGAAGGCGACUCGCUGGACAAGUAUUGACGCUGGGGUGUGAAAGCGUGGGGAGCAAACAGGAUUAGAUACCCGAGUAGUC
rnacentral:rRNA from 1 species